AUUAAGGAUCUUAGAAUAGACAUCUUUUAAACACUUGACUCCCUUUUUUCUGAGACCAAGUCUCACUUCCAACCAGUCUCCGGUCAGCUUCACGACGGUUUCUAAACGAUAAAGUUCUUCCCCCAAAAUCUUACUUUCUUCUCUUUCACCUAAAAAACCAACCUCUAACGGCCUGUUGUGGAUCUCUUCUUCAUUAAAGACCCCAUUGGCCCAUAUCUUUCACUAAUUUUCUGAUCACUCUUUCUUACCUCCGAUUUACCAUUCUAUGUUUCUUCUUAAACGUUUUCUGUCUUGGACGUCGGAGAACCAUUAGAAAACAACCCUCCGAUCCACCAUGUUUAAUUAAAGGUAAAUUAGUACACUUUUUUUUGGUUAACACUUUAUUAAUUCAAUAAAUGGGAUCUCAACCAUUACAAAGAGAGGCCCGAGGCGAUGUGUUACACAAUGCAAGCUUUUCGAGAGCAUCCGCUCUAGAGUUUUCAGAUCUAGGGAUAAAGCAAAACGAAAUUGAAGAAACAUAGAUGCAAGAGCUUGAAUGUCGAAGAGAAGACCGUAGACCUCCUUGAUUUGCUCUUGCGCCGAUAUAGAUCUGCUAAAAAUCUGAGCGUCUGAUUUGAUGGUGAGGGAGGUGAAUCCCAGAUCAAGCCCCUGGAGGAGAGCUGAUCGGAUGGCAAUUGCUUCUGCCAUGAGAGGAGAGCCAAUGAAAUUGUCAGAUCCCAAAUCCUUCGAAAUCUCGAUCCCGUGCUGUUAAAGAAGAUCCAUCCAUAUCCUGCUGAAUUUGUAUCACUCAUCCAAGCUCCAUCGAUGUAGCAGGUAAUAGAAUGGUUUUGAUGUGGCGGAAGAGAUGGUGCUGGAUCUUUUUGUAGGGUAGGAGUAUUAGUCUGUUGAGCUUGUUGCCAUUCUAGUGUGUCGCUGAUUGCUUUUGACAUAGUUUCAGCUGGGGAGAAGUAUUAGUAGGGUAGAAAUAUGGGGUAAUGGCUAGGAAGCCACUUUCUGUUUAAAUUUAUUCAGCCGUGCCACUGCUUAAUCUAUAUGCCACUCAAUUGAGGAAAAUACUAUUGUAACCUUAAUGAGAGGGAUCCACGUUUUUGAGGAAAUAAAUUUUGUUAAAAAUCGGAUUUCUUUAAUCUCCAUUAUUAUGCCCAAUUGUCGGAAAACGGGAAAACCGGAAAUUUCAAAAGCGCCCCGAAAAUUUCUCGCCGG
rnacentral:lncRNA from 1 species